UGGCCGGGUCAAAGAGAAGCGAGGCUGUGAAGCGGAGCAAAUCUCAAAAACCGGUCCCAGUUCGGAUUGUAGGCUGCAACUCGCCUGCACGAAGUCGGAAUUGCUAGUAAUCGUAGGUCAGCAUACUACGGUGAAUACGUUCCCGGGCCUUGUACACACCGCCCGUCAAACCNUGAGAGUUGGCAACACCCGAAGUCGGUAGUCUAACCGCAAGGAGGACGCCGCCGAAGGUGGGGUUGAUGAUUAGGGUUAAGUCGUAACAAGGUAGC
rnacentral:rRNA from 1 species